rnacentral:rRNA from 1 species
CCUAACACAUGCAAGUCGAGCGGUAACAGAGAGUAGCUUGCUUCUUUGCUGACGAGCGGCGGACGGGUGAGUAAUGCUUGGGAACAUGCCUUGAGGUGGGGGACAACAGUUGGAAACGACUGCUAAUACCGCAUAAUGUCUACGGACCAAAGGGGGCUUCGGCUCUCGCCUUUAGAUUGGCCCAAGUGGGAUUAGCUAGUUGGUGAGGUAAUGGCUCACCAAGGCGACGAUCCCUAGCUGGUUUGAGAGGAUGAUCAGCCACACUGGGACUGAGACACGGCCCAGACUMMUACGGGAGGCAGCAGUGGGGAAUAUUGCACAAUGGGCGCAAGCCUGAUGCAGCCAUGCCGCGUGUGUGAAGAAGGCCUUCGGGUUGUAAAGCACUUUCAGUCAGGAGGAAAGGUUAGUAGUUAAUACCUGCUAGCUGUGACGUUACUGACAGAAGAAGCACCGGCUAACUCCGUGCCAGCAGCCGCGGUAAUACGGAGGGUGCGAGCGUUAAUCGGAAUUACUGGGCGUAAAGCGUACGCAGGCGGUUUGUUAAGCGAGAUGUGAAAGCCCCGGGCUCAACCUGGGAACUGCAUUUCGAACUGGCAAACUAGAGUGUGAUAGAGGGUGGUAGAAUUUCAGGUGUAGCGGUGAAAUGCGUAGAGAUCUGAAGGAAUACCGAUGGCGAAGGCAGCCACCUGGGUCAACACUGACGCUCAUGUACGAAAGCGUGGGGAGCAAACGGGAUUAGAUACCCCGGUAGUCCACGCCGUAAACGAUGUCUACUAGAAGCUCGGAGCCUCGGUUCUGUUUUUCAAAGCUAACGCAUUAAGUAGACCGCCUGGGGAGUACGGCCGCAAGGUUAAAACUCAAAUGAAUUGACGGGGGCCCGCACAAGCGGUGGAGCAUGUGGUUUAAUUCGAUGCAACGCGAAGAACCUUACCUACACUUGACAUACAGAGAACUUACCAGAGAUGGUUUGGUGCCUUCGGGARCUCUGAUACAGGUGCUGCAUGGCUGUCGUCAGCUCGUGUUGUGAGAUGUUGGGUUAAGUCCCGCAACGAGCGCAACCCCUAUCCUUAGUUGCUAGCAGGUAAUGCUGAGAACUCUAAGGAGACUGCCGGUGAUAAACCGGAGGAAGGUGGGGACGACGUCAAGUCAUCAUGGCCCUUACGUGUAGGGCUACACACGUGCUACAAUGGCGCAUACAGAGUGCUGCGAACCUGCGAAGGUAAGCGAAUCACUUAAAGUGCGUCGUAGUCCGGAUUGGAGUCUGCAACUCGACUCCAUGAAGUCGGAAUCGCUAGUAAUCGCGUAUCAGAAUGACGCGGUGAAUACGUUCCCGGGCCUUGUACACACCGCCCGUCACACCAUGGGAGUGGGUUGCUCCAGAAGUAGAUAGUCUAACCCUCGGGAGGACG